AAAAAGAACCUGAAACCGUGUACGUACAAGCAGUGGGAGCACAGGUUUACCUGUGUGACUGCGUACCUUUUGUAUAAUGGGUCAGCGACUUAUAUUCUGUAGCAAGGUUAACCGUAUAGGGGAGCCGUAGGGAAACCGAGUCUUAACCGGGCGUUAAGUUGCAGGGUAUAGACCCGAAACCCGGUGAUCUAGCCAUGGGCAGGUUGAAGGUUGGGUAACACUAACUGGAGGACCGAACCGACUAAUGUUGAAAAA
rnacentral:rRNA from 6 species